GGCUCUGUGGUGCAAUGGACAGCACGUUGGACUUCUAGUUCGGAAGAUGAUAUUCAAAGGUUUUGGGUUCGAGUCCCACCAGGGUCA
rnacentral:tRNA from 1 species